UCCCACAUAAACAAUUCAGUGUGUUUCACACUGGAACAUUGAAUGAUUCCUUCAAUGCUGCCCUCUAAUGACCAAGCAACACACCAUGUGUAAAAGUUGAAUGUUGCACAUAAUGUUUGUUUUCCUUUGUUCGAAUCAGAAUACAAGUGAGGCUCACGGAUUGCAUCUGGUUGAUAUUCACUUUAUUCUUUGUUUUUAGGUUCUUUCUCAUUGGAGGGCUUAAAGCAAGGGGAUUUCAUACUUCUUCCGGUUUGAAGAAUCUCUGUGUAAGCUGUGUGUGGUGAGAAAGCCAUCACAAGAGCGUGAUGGAGGAAGCAGCAGCUGCUGGCGUCUGUGACGGUGACCUAGCAGCCUGUGAAAACAGUCCGGACGCGUGACACCGGAGGAGGGAAGCAUUCGGAAGGAUAUUAUUUAAAGUGACAGCAUGACCUGGUAGAAUUAAUGAUUCAUCCCUGAGAGACAACGAAGUACCUGGCUUUGAAAUUCAAUUAUGAGGAAGACCCAGGAGCUGAGCUGGAGGCAAACACAAGAGCUGACUUAGCUUCAUAGCAUUUCCGGACUCCACAGGGAAGUGGACUCUACGCAAGACCCCCAAGGUCAGCUCCUCGGCACUGCUUCCUAUUGAGCAGGCAGGAAGUGUGCAGGAGUCUCCAGGAAGCCUGUCAGGGGGAGAUUCCUGCAGUUGAAAGGGCAGCACCAUCAAGGAUCCAAGCUGGCCUUAGAAGUUAACAAGAAAUAGAAGUUAUAAUCUCAAAAAUAAAAGGUGGGGUUAGAAGUUUUUAUUUUCUAUUCACAUGCUAUGAAAUAUGCUAUUUUAUGUUAUUGGUUUGCAAUUUCAAUGAAAGUUGACUAGUCCUGAAAAAAGGCUUCGUUUUGGAAAAGCCUGGUUGUAAACAUGGCAGAACUAUUUUACUCCAGAGCAAAAGGCCAGCUCCAAGCAGACAGUGAGGCAGCUGAGGUCAAGGGCACUCCUCUCUGUUCCUAAGCUCCCAGAAUGCCAUCUGUUGGGACAUUCCUCUGUAAUAAAUCAUUGAGAACAAGAGACCCUGGGCUAGUUCGGGGUUAGUAAAGUUGAGUGCAGUUAGGGAAAGAGAAAGAAAGCAGAAUUGUCUGGGUUCUUACGCAAGGAAAGUACAAAGUGUAGUUUAUAAAGGACAUGAAACACUCCUUUAUGCCACAAAUGGUCUCAUUGAACACCACACUGACCAGAUUUCCUCCACAUCUGUGAUUAUACCUACAACCACAGGAUGUCUCUAAUCAGCUUUUUAUUAUGUGCAGGAAGGUGGUACAGGGUUUCCUCUGAGACCUCUCUCUCUUUGGGAGAUGUAUGCCCUUGGUCAUUUCCCAGGCAGAACCUCUGCUCCACAAAUACCGACUAGAAUUCUCUGCCUAGAAAUCCCACCAGUGUCUCCAGCAUGCCAGUUCAGAACCACUCAUCCUGUCUGUCCCAUUUGUUAUUGGCCUCAGAUCCCAGAACCUCCAGUCACAGCUGAGAGUGAUCCUUUAUCUGCUUUCUCCCUCAUCUAGGAAAUUGCCAAACCCUGUCUGCCUCAUUUCUGAUCGUCUCUUAAAUCCAUCCCUUUUCCAAUAUGCCAUCAGGAGGUGCCUCACUCAUGCCUGGGGUGUCUGUUGCACAAUCCUAUGUGAUGGAUGGACGGACAUGACUCUGGUCAGGCUGUGUGUGCCAUGACUACACACCCUCUAGGCACCAUGGUGCCUCAGCCUUGCUCUCCCAGUGUCCAUGCCAAGUGACUCAGACUCCAGGGGUCUUGAGUACAGACAGUCCCCGUUUGAGAACGGACAGGAACAUGUUUCCAGACAUGACAAAAGUCUUUUGGGCCCUGAAUUUAUGCUAACUACCACAUGACCACAGAAUACCAAAUAUUUUCAGUCUAAAUUUCUAUUAAUCAUACUAAUGUCUGUUCUCUAUUUCUUUAUUCAUUUCUCCAAUUCUGUGGCCCAAUUCUUUAUAAAGCCUGUUCCAUUAACUUCUAAGAUCCCACUCCAGUUCAUGACAUCUCAAGUCUCUCUUCCUCUUCGGGUAGCUGCUGGUACUUCUUUAGGAAAGAACAAAUUCUAUGAGAAACAGAAAACUAGAAAGGUGCAAAAACCUUCAAAGCAGAUGGUGUAGGGCAAUAAGAUGAAACAUUGUAACAGAGAAGAAACUCUGGGGACAUCCAGGGACUGAGUGGAUAAAACACAAAGACGGAAAGAAUUCACAAAAUCCCCUGUCUGCCAUAGUCCUUUAGUAGGUAACAUCCCCCAUAAGAGGUACAAGGCAAGACAGGGUUCUUAGCAAAAAUUAUCAGCUUGCUUGCAUUGGGUCUCAUUGUUCUGCAGACCCUAAGAACUUAUUCCAAUCAAGUAUAUAGCAUGUAUACUACUGGGAUCAGGCAAACUGCAUUCAACAACACCUCCUGUGUGCUCUGAGGUCACAUGCCUAGGAGGUCUAAGGUGGAAAUCAUUUGAGCUGACUCUUAAGUAGGCAGCCCAGUUUAGAAAAUUCUUCAGGAAAGGUGAAUACAGGCAGAGUGUGCAUCGGAUUUUAGGCUGGCGAUGCUUUGGGAGGAGCCGUGGAACACCUGCUAUUUCUAUGUCACUGAUCACAUGCCACAGAUACCUGUGUCCUUUUUCCACACACCCCAGAUAACACCUAAAAGCAUGAGGUGGGGCCAGCAUUCCAAGGUCCUCCUAGAGGGUCAAAUGAGAAGGUAUGUCCCCUGUUUGGGUUGUUUGUCAGCUAUUACUCUUCACCCUGAAGAAACAUCUGAAGUUUCCAACAGAAUCUCUAAAAUUCCUAACAACAGUUACAGAGCUGUACACGGUGUUUGAAAUCACUCGGUUCUCUGACAUAGGAAUGGGACCAUUUGGAAUUGCCAGGCGUUACCAGUGCAGAGGAAGGGCAAACUUCCUCGCUGUGUACAAAUGGACGGGUAAGAGGUAGCAUCUCCCACCAUUCAAACCUUAAUUGCUCUGUUAAGUCAAGACGUAUUCAUGUAAACAGGAUGUUUGUAUGUGUCUGUUGUGAGCUUUCCACCCAUGAAUGAAUGACUCACAUGAAUAGAAGAUGUGUGGUUCCAUUUUUCCUCCACUCUUUGGAAGUUCUUUGUGCAUUAGGUGUAUAAUUGGCCAUCGGUACUUUCUCAGGGGGUCAUUUGCCCUCUGGCCUUAUAUGACAUACACAUGCUCUACAGAGUCCUUUUCGAGAUUGGGAUAUACCAACCUCUUCAAUGAUGAAAUCUGGACUUGGGGUUAUUUUUAGAAUUUUUUUCAGGAUAAGAAUGUAUCUGAUUUUGUCAUUUUCCCAAGAGGGCUGACAAGUUAUUUGAAUAUCACUUAUUUGAGAAGCUAUCUUUUCCCAAGGGGGAAUAUAUGUAAUCACCUCUGUAUUAGAAUAAAAUUAAAAAAUUAAAAGAUCGGUAUAAUUGUGUGUGAUGUGUAUAUGUGCGUAUUGUGUGUGAGUGUGCUUACAAUAGCACAUGUGUAUGGUGAGAGGACCACUUUGUGGAGUUGGAACUCUCCACUGUAUGUAGGCUGUAGGGUUUAGACUCAGAUCAUGAGGCUGGAAUUGUAUGGAAGCUGUGUGUGGAUUCCGAGUAUCAAAGGCAGGGCCAUGGGGCUUACAUCACAUGACAGCCAGCACCUUGACCUUGGAGCUGGCUCGCAAGCCCCAAUCUAAAUGUUUAACAUGUACAGAGUUCUAAUUCCUUGAUUCCACUGAUUCUUAAAUGCAUCCAUGGUUCUUACAGAAGAUUGAUUUAUUUUAUUGCUUCUUAUUUCUUUCCUUCCCAGUGAAUUUCAGCAUCCUGUUACCUGACUUUAUGGAGAGGAAGAAAGACAGAGAAUGCAUACGUGUACAUGUUUGAGGGUGUGUUUGUAUGCAUUUGUGUGUUUGAGGGUGUGUUUGUAUGCAUUUGUGUGUUUGCAUGUUUGUAUAUGAGUAUUUGCACACAUGUGUCUUAACUACCAGUACACUAAAUUCAGAUAUGAACCUGGAGGAAGCUGUAUGUUGAUAACUGAAACAUUUCCAUCCCCUUAAGUCUUCCUGGGGCAUAGCAAUAGGUUGCGAUAGUUUUUAAGCCAUUAUUUUUGAGUUUAUUCUCAUGCAUUUUACCUUGUAACUCCACAGCUAUUGGGGCCAUUCUCAUUGGUUAUGCAUGCUGAUAGGCUAUUUGUGACUAUAAAGGGCUAUUGAUUUGGGCAUGUUAACUUUAUAUUCUGGUAAUUGAUUACCUUUUUUCAAUUAGAUGAGUUUUAUCAUUAAUUCUUUGGAGAGAGUUCUUGGUAUUUUAUUAUGUCAGCUGAGAAAAUUAUAUUGUUUUGCAGCCCUGUUGCCUUUAAUUCUUUACUCUAAUCCAAUAACAUUGGCCAAUACUUCUAGAACAAUAUUAAAUGGUGGUAAGUCAGUAGGGAUCUUUAUUUCUCACCUUCAAAGGAAUGGCUGUAGUGCAUCCCAGCUGGGACUGAUUCUGAAAUUAAAAUUAGGGUGCAAUAGCUAAGAUUUUUCUUUUUUCUCUGUCUUCAUCCCCACUUUUUUUUUAAUUAUUAUUUUGGAAACAGCAUCUUGUGGUGUAUCCCAGUCUGGCAUGACAAUCAUUAUGCCUCAGACUCCUCAGUUUUUGGAUUGUCAGUGUUCAUCACUAUGCUUCCCUUUAUAUACAUACAUACAUUCAUACAUAUAUAUACAUAUAUAUGUAUAUAUAUACAUACAUACAUAUAUAUACAUAUGUAUGUAUAUAUAUACAUACAUAUAUAUUAGAGAUUUAUAUUGCCAGUGCUAUUUUUUCAAGAUAUUUUAUGAAGAAUGGAAUGGAUUUUGUUGAUAACAAUUUUCUACAUUUUUAGAAACAGUUAUCUAAUUUCUCUCCUUACAUCUAAUUGUACCAUAAAAGAUAUUAGUAAGCAUUCCUGGGUAAUCCUAGCACUUGAGAGGCAGAGGCAGGGGAAUUAUGCCAAGUUGAUGAACAAUCUGAUCUUUACAGUGAGAACCUGUCUCAAAAAGCAUUUUUAAAAAUUCUUUUCUAAUAUGGAACUUGAGCCACAAAUUGCCACAGUGAAUGAUUUUGGAAUUUCCCAUCACCAUUAACAAAUGAGCUUGAUCCAUUGUCCCUUGAGGGUUUCUUCCAUUGUCUAUGAUCCAGGCAUGAAAACAAUGUGGACAUGUUCUUCACAUCUGUUUCCUGAAACUUACACAUGUUUUAAUGUGCUCAGCAUCUCCCUCGGACACUGUCUGGAUCCUAUAAGAAGCAUCACUUGGGACACAUUUCUAUUUCUCUUGUGAAACUGUUUACACCUCUUAUAACUAUUAGCAGCCAUUCUAGUAAACUGAGUUGUGCUAAGACAGACCACUUCACCGGGCUUCUCGAGGUUAUCGGCUAUGUUGGUGCUCAUCUAGGAUUUCUUCUGUUCUCUGUAGACUCAGGCACUCCUUUAUCUUCUGUUUUGUAAAAAUUUGUCCACAUUUUCCAUGUUUAAAUCAAUAUUUUUGUUUUUUCAAGACAGGGUUUCUCUAUGUAACAGCUCUGGCUGUUCUGGAACUCGCCCUGUAGUCCAGGCUGCCCUUGAACUCACAGAGAUCCACUUGCCUUUGCCUUCUAAGUGCUGGGAUUAAAGGCAUGUGACACCAUGGCCCAGCAAUGAAGCGUUUUUUAUAUUCACAGUUUAGGAACCAUUUCUACUUAUGAACACAAUCCAGCGCCAUUGCUACCUUUUUAUUAUGUCAUGUGCUCCUAUUUUCCCUGAGUAUCAUCAACUGUUCUUCAAUGCUGUGCUUCUCUGUCUUGACACUGUGCUUUCUUUUAUUGGAUUGUGGAAGGCUAGGAUUCAGUCUCGUGCUGUGCAGCUCAGGCUGGCCUCAGACUCUCUCUCCUCUUGUCUCACCCCCACCCCACUGUCUGUGGAAUCACAGUGUGUGACACAUCACACAGCUUCUACUUUAAACUUUACCUUUUUCUUCUAAGCGCCUUCAUUCCUACCUUCAGAUGCUUCUUUUAAUCUUUUAAGGUUUAAUGGUUAGCCACAGUUUAUUUCUGUUUCCCAAAGUUGUUUUUUUUUUUAACUAUUUUUACUAAUAUGUAAGUGUGUUCCUCCAUGUGGGUUUGUGCACAGGAGUUUUAGGUGCCUACUAAGGACAGAGGUAUUAGAGCCCCCCUGGAGCUGGAGUUCCAGGUGGUUGUGUGCUGUUAAUUGUUUUUGCUCUUUUGGAGGACCUACCACCCAGCUCCCAAAUAAAUGACAUGUGGAGGUUCAUUCUUAAUUAUGAAUUCCCAGCCUUAGCUUGGCUUGUUUUUUCUAGCCAUCUUUUCUAACUUAAAUUAUCCCAUCUACCUUUUGCCUCUAGGCUUUUUCCUUUUCUUCUGUAUAUCUUGCUUUCACUCUUACUCUAUGGCUGGCUGGGUGGCUGGGUGGCCCCUAGCAUCCUCCUCUCCUUGUUCUCUUGUUUCUUCUUCCUUUUUUCCUCCCAGAUUUCUCCUUCUUUUUAUUCUCUCUGCCUGCCAGCCCCUCCCAUCCUUUCUCCUGCCUUGCUAUUGGCUGUUCAGUUCUUUAUUAGACCAUCAGGUGUUUUAGACAGGCAAAGUAACACAGCUUCACAGAGUCAAACAAAUGCAGCAUAAAAGUAUGCAAAACAUCUUUGCAUCAUUAAAGCCAAUGUUCCACAGCAUAAAUGAAUGUACCACAUCUUAAAUUAAUAUUCUACAGCAGUUGUGAGUUGACUAAUGGAAGUGCUGGGAAUAAACCUUGGGUCCUCUGGAAGCGGAGUAGACGCUCUGAACCUCUGAGACCUCCGAGACCUCCCAGCUUCUUUUUGUUCUUUGGUUUAUCAGUUUCUGCACGCUGAUUUCUGUAUCCUGCUUUCUCAAACUGAUUCCACGGGCAUAGGAUCUGUGGGUUGUUUGCUUUGUUUUUUAACUAUGGUUGCUCACAUGGGCCAUGCUUAAAGUGUGCCUUCCCAUCCACCUGCUCUCUUCUGCGUGGUUUUCAUAGUGGGUGGCCAGGGCAGGGAGAGACGGGGUGGUGUGUGCUCUACCUCCAUCUCUAUUCCUCCUGUUUCUUUCUCUCUCCUCACAGACAUGACCCUGGUGAGCACCACCUUCCCAUAUCCACAUUAUCUGCAAUGCUCUCCAUGAGAAAGUAAACAUGUCUCAGACAGAGUAACGUCUCACUUCCUUCCAGCAGUGUUCACAUCCCAGUCCCUUCCCUGAGGCCAGUGUUCCAAAGAGCAAGACAGAGGAGCCUCAGGCAAGAUGGUCUUAUCCAUGCCAUCCUCCUUGUCUUCCUGAGCCCUCCCAGUAGACCAUUCACCAAACCUAUCAGCUUCAAGGGUUGGCAAGAGGACUGGUGAAACUGGGUUUCUUUCUCUUCUUGCAUGGCAUUCUGGAGGUUGUGCCAUCCUGUGUCUCCCAGGAAGCUGAAUGUAUGGUUCAUGAGCGAAUACCAAAAGGUGAAGCUGAAUAGACAUCAUGGACUCUGUGCCUUCUCCAUCCAGGAGAUUCCUGUCUUCUCCCUAACCUGAUUGUCUUUCUUCUUCUGUGGACCAGAAUCUAAGCCCCCGAGGACCUGAGCUCAGACUUUAAUGAAGGCAGAGAUAAAACUCUGCUGAGAGGGGCGGUGUGGCAGCAUGAGGACACAGCCAUAUUCAAAGGGGCAGGGAAUAGACAACUCCGGGGUUGCCAUAAAAAUUAACUGAAGCAAUGUGUGUAACAAUAAACCCCUGCCACGCUGUGCGUUCUCUAAAAUGUCACCACUCUAUUCAGCUAAUAGAGAACAUCUUUCUGGGCUUCCCUGGGGACAUACUUGAUCCAACUUGCUGGUCCUCUCAGGAGAUGUUCUCAGAACUUAACAUGGCAGGGAGCUAACACCUACUCUGAGUUUGCCCUUAGAUGAGAACCAUCCUUUCAGGGCUGAAUUGGCUAUUCUGGGGCAGGAAGCCACUAAACAAUAAACAAGCAUUUUCCUACAGACAUGGAAAAGGGAAGGGAACUAACAGUGCGGGCACUCUAAGGCUGGACAUGCCGUCUGUUUUUGCUGCCGUUCUUUCUGUUAAACAGGAGACAGCAGACGCACCCUUCCCAAUGCAGAAGAUGUCCUAAGAGCUCCAGCUGAAAUUCUGCAACAGAAAAUCCAUUUCACAAUGCUCCUACUCUAGAAGUGUUUGUUACCGCACACAGAAGACAUCGAGGGAGAACGCAGUCAUCAGAGAGUGAAGUGCAGAGGCAGGCCUAAGCAAGCUUGCUACAGGACGUAGAUUCCCCAUCCUCUGCGACUCUGGAUCUACAGGAAGGAGGCGCCAGCUCCCUUUGCCCGGGGGACACAGAGAAGACCCCACGGAUAAGCUAUAGAUAAGUGGCAGGGGGCUUCCGUGUGAAUGGACAGAGGAGAAGGUUGGUCUCCUGUUUGCUGGCUUCCUCCACCCUUCAGUGAAAGCCUCCAGGAAAGAGAAAAAGCUUGGGGAAAGAGCGGAGCCCUGUUCCAUGCCCUGCGUGGUGAGGCAAGGCUGGGGUGCAGCCGGAAAUGGUGAAAUCAGAGUCCAGGAUGAGGAUGACUUCUCGCCAUGGCGUUUCCUGAUGGGCUGAGGCUUUGAAGUGCACAUGCAUGCUCAUGGAGACCUGAAGAGGACAUCGUAGGUGCACAUGCAUGCUCAUAGAGAUUUGAAGAGGACAUUAGGUCUCCUAGAAUCGGAAUCACAGUCUGCUGUGAACCUCCUGCUAUGGGUCCUGGGAGCUGAACUCUGGAAGCACUCUUAGCACUCAGCCAUCUCCGCAGCCUUCCUUCAGGUUCUUACCUCUGAGUUUGUCAUUAAACAUGUCCUUUAUCAUAGCAUCAGACCUUAAGUAUAUCACUGUGUUUCUGCAUAGAGGUCUUAAUUACAUUUCUCCAAUCAGGACAUCUCAUCUGAUCUCUCUAGUGAAAAGAGAAAAUUCCUAAGCCUUCACUGAAUAUACAUGUCCCAGGAUAUACAGAAGCAUGGACAUGCCCCUGGGGCAUGGCCACUUGGGACCCUUAAGACUUGCGAUGCACAUACACUCUUCUUUGCUCCCUCGUGGUUUUUGGAUGCUGGGACAGACCAGGCAGAUUUCAGGUGGAAGGACAGUGUGGGACUGUGCCUCACCUUUCCAAGAUCCUGCAACAAAUUCCUCUAUUCUGUCUUGUGAGAUUUCUUUCCCAAAUAAAUUCCUUUGCCGUUAAAGUGGACUCCAUGGAUUUCUCCCACUAGGUGCCAGUUACAAUUCACCUUGCAUCUGGUAUCAAUUCCUGAACUAUUAAUUCUGGUGAUAUAUGAUGGGACAGAAGACCUGAGCUUUAAUAGAAACCCAUAGAUGUGGGGAGAAGUAUUCACGAAAGGAAAGGUGGCAACUUCCAUCAGAAGAGAGACAAAGAGGUCCCUCAGAAACACCACCAUGUAUCUGUUUGUUUCAAUUUACUGAGUGGUCUUACAAGCCACUUAAAUUCUUACAUUGAUGGAAUGAGUAGGAACAUGGACAAAUAUGGCAUUUUAAAUGUGUUCCAGGAUAUGUAGAAGCACAUUUCAUUUUCCCUGCAGAAUGAACUCUGACACAGACUUAGCAAAAUGUACUGCAGAAAGAUAUGUAUUCACUUGACAAACUUCAUGAGUUGUCAAGAUGGAAAUCUUGUCUAGAACCCUGGCUUGUUGGUACUGUGUCUCAGCCAACACAAAAGCUUCGGCCAUGUCCUAGGUAGUCUAGCCCAGUGUAUUCUGCAUAAUGUAAGAGUCAUUUCUGCUUCUUGAUGUUACACUCGGCCACUGUCAAUUCUUUCCGAGUGGGAAGUUCAUUGGUUUAUAACAAUCCAUUGAGGGAUAACUAUAAUUAUUGAUGACAACCUCAUUCUGUUGUAUCUACAUGUGCUUUCUUGUUACCACUGUCUGUCGUCCCUCAGUCUGUAAAAUAAAUCUGCUCCAUCCUCCUCAUGGUGACAUGCCGAGCCUGGGAAAGCAUUACCCUGUGCCCUUGAAACUUUCAGUGACUACUCUACAUAUAGCAAAUGCGUCAUAGUUAAAUUCUAAGUAAAAGAUUGGUCGUGGCAAACAUCUCUAGUGCCGGUACUGUUUCACACAUCACAUCAACCUAAAGAAAGUAAUUACCUUUCUUUGGGCCAACACAACUUGAUAAAUUGUAAAAGCUUUCCAGGGAAGUGUUGCCAUCACCUGGUUGUGGUGAUAAAUCAAGUAGGCAAUCUCAUCUAAGUGACUUCAUUACUGGGUGUGCACUGAGGAAAUGACUUUCCACAUUAGCGUCGCUUAUCUAGAAACUGAAUGGAUAUUAUAACACAGAAAACAUGAUUUUAAAGUAAUAUUGCUUCCAUUGAUAUAUAAUUGGCAUUUUAAAAACUAAUUUGGAAAACAUAUUUGGAUUUGUUUUUCCUUCAAUGUACACUUGUUACCUUGCCUCUGCGAUGAUGAAGUUUUAAGAAGGCCUCGUGUUUGGCACAUGAAGGCACAUGGGAAGUCCUGCCUGGAUAUGGGGGAUUGUUCUGCCUAUACUUAUUCACUUCUAGCUGCUCACAGCCCCUCACCCUAGACCACCCUGCUUCUCUUGCUUCCCAUGUUCCUGCACAAUUCCAAGGGUCUAUCCUGCAUGCCUACUUGCUGAAUUUUGAACAGAACUCAGAAUCAUAGCUAUGUCUCAUGGGGCAUCUGGAGUUGAGAUGCCCAGCUUUCUGCAUCACAUCAGAGAGUACGUGCUAUUAACAUGACUUGCCUCUGCCUUCAUCCCUUGGUGAAGGCAGUACCCAGGGGGUUUCUCCACUGUGUCAUAACUUUUUCCUUUUCAUGGUCUAUUCUUUGGAGGCGAGCUACUAUGUGCCACUCACCUCAGAAGAGGAGAAAUGAAACCCAAAAAUCUCAGAGGAGGAAAUAUAUAUAUAUCGUUUAUAGCUCUUCAAUAAAGAUUAUUAGUCCCUUCUCA